rnacentral:lncRNA from 1 species
CAUGGCCUAGUAUUCUUAUGUGAAGUCUACCAAGCUUGUGCUCAAGGGAACCGAGGUGAAGUAGUAAGAAGAAAAAGAGCAAAGAUAAGAAGAGAAAAAGAGAAGAUGAAGAAACCCAGCUUUAGGAAUCUGGUGAACAGUAACAAACUUUGGUGAAAUUUCAGGAACCAUAGCCAUUGAAGUGGAUGAGGGAACCUAUAUACAUGCACUCAACAAUGGUCUUUUUACCCUGGGAGCUCCACACAAGUUGAUGAGGGCCCUAGUCCUCCAGAGCAGUUUAUGGCUGUCAAAUUAUCUGAUUCCAAAUAUCUUAGUAUAAAUUCAGAUGAACUUGUUGUUGGCGUUCAGAUGCAAUUGGACCAAGAGAACAAUGGGAACCAGUCUUUCAAAAUGUGAGUGCUGUUAUUGUUUAUAAAAACUUC